AUGUACAGGAAGAGGACGCUUUGGGCUGCAUCAUAUUUGUCUGGUGGGUUUUUCCUUGGUAUGCGCAGUAAUCAGAGGAGUGAGAGUCUGAACUCCAGCCUGCACCUUCAUCUUGACUAUGGUAUGACAAUUGUUGACAUGAUUGUACACUACGAGAAUUGUAUUGUUCGCCUCCGUGAGAAUGAAGCUUAUGAUGACUACACGGCCUCACAGACUCUUCCAGUAACAGUGACUGAGUGUCAGGCCAUUGAGUCGUAUGCUGCGAAAGCAUUCACGCAGGCAAACUUUUAUAUGUUGCAACAAGAUAUGAAGAAGGUACAGGAGCUUGAGGUAAUUGAUAGACUGACAGGGACCGGUAGUCAGAGAUUUGUGGUUGCGUGGAAGAAUAACAUGGAUCACAGAUUUAAUGUGGACUAUACGCCAGGUAACUCGGCAGAAACUAUAAAGUGCAGUUGCCGAAGUAUGACUCGCAAAGGGCUUCCUUGCAAGCAUAUUAUUCAUGUUUUGAAUGCACUGAACUUACCUGUGAUACCCAAGUGUUGUGUCCUGCGAAGAUUCUCAAAAAAAGCACGAGCUGGACUGCCAGUGAAGCGCACCAGCGAUUUGUUUGCGUGGGGUUGGUCGAGUGGUGAGGACAGAGCUAGAUAUAGUGAGUUGACCAUUAAAUCUUCAGAAGCCUGUCAUGUCGCAUGCAGUAAUCCUUUCUUAUUCGACAAGUUGAUGGCAGCUCUGGAUGAUAUUAUAGUGAAUAAGGAUAUUCAGGGAAAUGAAGAUGAUAUUCAGCGAAGCUUCGUGAACAGUAAUCCAUUUGAGCCUAACCGAGAUCAUAUUCUGGUUCGUGAUCCAGUAAAGAUUUCCACCAAGGGCGCACCUAAGCAGAACAGUAGAGGUCGCGGUAAGGGUGGCCCAGAUGUGACAAAAAAUGAGAGGCCUAAAGCAUUUGACGAGAAAUCUGGACGAAAAUGUAGCAUAUGCAGCGGCUCAGGUCAUAACAGGAGCACAUGCAGCAAAAAUGAAGAGUAUGUCUAUUAUUUGUUUAUGUCAGUUUUGUUGUUUCAUUAA
rnacentral:rRNA from 1 species